CGCUAUGCCACAGAAGAAGUGUCCACGGACGCCAAGAAGCAAGCUAGGUUCCGGAAGGGUCUCAACCCCAAGUUGCGUCGUGAUCUCCACCUGCAUCAUUGUGAUACAUUCCAAGCCCUUGUGAACAAGGCCAUCAAUGCAGAGACAGCUCAACUCACUUACGAGGAGUCUCGUAAGCACACCCGUGAUUUGGGAUCUUCCUCCGGUUCUAGUUCCCAGAAGCGCCGGAUUUGGGUUCCAAACUCCGCUCUUCCUUCCGGUUAUACACCGAGGCCAUCCUAUGUGGUGCCUUCUCCAGCUCAGUCGUAUGUUCCACCCGGGCCUACUGGUAGACCGUUUGUCAGUGCGGGUCCACGUCCAACCUCAGGGACUUGCUUCACAUGCGGGAAGCCAGGACACUAUGCACGUGACUGCUCUCAGACUAGUUAUGCUCCACCUCAGCCCGAGAAGACUUUUGGCUGUGUUAAGCCAUCACGCAAGAUGAUCAGUGUCAAGUCAGCCCCCACUGAACGUGGACGUGUGCAUCACGUCUCAGCUAAAGACGCUCAUGAUGAUCCAGAUGUCGUUCUUGGUACCCUUCUUGUCAAUUGUCACCCAGCAUCA
rnacentral:rRNA from 1 species